rnacentral:rRNA from 1 species
UACGGAGGGUGCAAGCGUUAUCCGGAUUCACUGGGUUUAAAGGGAGCGUAGGUGGGUUGAUAAGUCAGUGGUGAAAUCCCCGAGCUUAACUUGGGAACUGCCAUUGAUACUAUUGAUCUUGAAUACCGUGGAGGUCAGCGGAAUAUGUCAUGUAGCGGUGAAAUGCUUAGAUAUGACAUAGAACACCAAUUGCGAAGGCAGCUGGCUACGCGAAUAUUGACACUGAUGCACGAAAGCGUGGGGAUCAAACAGG